UACGAAGGGGGCUAGCGUUGUUCGGAAUUACUGGGCGUAAAGCGCGCGCAGGCGGUCUUCCAAGUCAGUGGUGAAAGCCCGGAGCUCAACUCCGGAACUGCCAUUGAAACUGUAAGACUUGAGGAUGAGAGAGGUGAGUGGAAUUCCCAGUGUAGAGGUGAAAUUCGUAGAUAUCGGGAGGAACACCGGUGGCGAAGGCGGCGAUCUGGGUCGAUACUGACGCUGAGGUGCGAAAGCGUGGGUAGCGAACAGG
rnacentral:rRNA from 1 species